rnacentral:siRNA from 1 species
UAAAGCUGCUUGAUGUUGUC